CUAAGGGUGCUGCAAGUGUGCAGAGGCCUGGUUUCAGCUGGAAGUCACAUGGCUGAGCCCUCCCUCUUCCGCCACCAGCAGUUAGAUGAGCCUGCUGACCAGUGCAGCUUGAAAAGGAGUGAGGAGAAUACUGACUCUCUGCCUCAUGACACUUCUCCUCUACCUUCUAGAAGAAUAUAAGAAAACUACAGCCACCACUGUGGGGCCAAGUACUGAAGGACAGAGGACAGAGUACAGAGUCAUGAGCAAAAGCAGAAAACCUCAUUCUGGAACCUUCACUGCUCUGGUUGUACAGCCCAGGGCAAAUCAGGUAAUCUCCUGUACCAGCGUCUUUUCUUCAGAGAGGGCCUGUCAGUGAGAGGAGAGACCAGCUCAGACUCAGGGCCAGACACAGAAGGAGCGCAGUAGAGGAGAGGGGAGGACCUGAGGAGGACAAGAUGAUGAGGAGGAGCGAGAGGGACAAGGAGGAAAGAGAGAGAAAGAGGUAGGAGGAUGAAUGAGGACAGAUCGGCACAUAGUCCUCCAAAGCAGG
rnacentral:lncRNA from 1 species